AUGGACGACUCCGCCCUGUUCAUGGAAUGGGCCAUGGACACGCUGGAGCAGGAGCACCCAGACCCGGUGGUGGUCCACGUCAACGGCGACUCCGGCGAGGCAGCCUUUCCCUCGCUUCAGGCGCUCCGUGAGCAGCGUCUCGUCUUCGAAGAGCUGAUUACGGGAGCCAAUCCGGCAAACAGCGCGAGCUCCGGCGAAACUACAGACGGUAGCGGAGGUUCAGGCAAUUUCUCGUCCCCGGCGGCCAUGGAGCACGACGUCUGGCGCCCGUCCCCGAACUCGGCCAGGUGCGCUCCGAAGCUUUGCAGGAACGGUGGGGGCACCAGCCUUCCCGUGACGAGCUGGAAUUUCUGCGCCGCCUCCGCGCUGCCGGCCAGUGACGGCACACUGGACAGCGGCAGCGCCGGGGCCGGGCCUGUCGUCCCGGAGAUGGUGUACGGGUCCCAGCCGACGAGGAGGACCGCCGCAAGGAGCCCUACCAGCACCGGACCCGUGUCGUCGGGGCCGCCGUACGCGCAGGACCAUAUCAUGGCGGAGCGGAAGCGCCGGGAGAAGAUUAACCAGCGCUUCAUCGAGCUCUCCACCGUCAUCCCCGGCCUCAAGAAGAUGGACAAGGCGACGAUCCUUUCCGACGCGACGAGGCACGUCAAGGAGCUGCAAGAGAAGAUCAAGGCCCUGGAGGCAGCCGCCGGCCGCAGCAGCAGGAGCAACGAGACCGUGGUACUCAUCAAGAAGAAGCCGCGCCACGCCGACGCCGCCCUUUCAGACCAGAACGGCUUGACCUCGUCGGCGUCAUCGGGGGCGCCUUCUGGGGGGAAUAACCCGCUGCCGGAGAUCGAGGUGCGGUUCUCGGAGACCGGCGUCAUGGUGAGGAUCCUCUGCCACGACGUCCAGGGGGUGGUGGUGAGGGUGCUGUCGGAGGUGGAAGAGGGGCUCCACCUCACCGUCACCCACGCCAAUGUCAUGCCCUUCACGGCCUGCACUGUCAUCAUAACCAUCACGGCCAAGGUGGAUGAGGGCUUCACCGUUACGGCAGAGGAGAUCGUAGGAAGACUCAACUCUGUGCUGCAAUUGCAUAGCAGCUGCACUUCUACCGAUGAAAAAUGA
rnacentral:rRNA from 1 species